rnacentral:rRNA from 1 species
GACGAACGCUGGCGGCGUGCUUAACACAUGCAAGUCGAACGGAAAGGCCCUGCUUUUGUGGGGCGCUCGAGUGGCGAACGGGUGAGUAACACGUGAGUAACCUGCCCUUGACUUUGGGAUAACUUCAGGAAACUGGGGCUAAUACCGGAUAGGAGCUCCUGCUGCAUGGUGGGGGUUGGAAAGUUUCGGCGGUUGGGGAUGGACUCGCGGCUUAUCAGCUUGUUGGUGGGGUAGUGGCUUACCAAGGCUUUGACGGGUAGCCGGCCUGAGAGGGUGACCGGCCACAUUGGGACUGAGAUACGGCCCAGACUCCUACGGGAGGCAGCAGUGGGGAAUAUUGCACAAUGGGCGGAAGCCUGAUGCGGCAACGCCGCGUGCGGGAUGACGGCCUUCGGGUUGUAAACCGCUUUCGCCUGUGACGAAGCGUGAGUGACGGUAAUGGGUAAAGAAGCACCGGCUAACUACGUG